UACAGAGGUCCCGAGCGUUGUUCGGAUUUAUUGGGCGUAAAGGGUGCGUAGGCGGCGGAGUAAGUUGGGUGUGAAAUCCCGGGGCUUAACCUCGGAAUUGCAUUCAAUACUGCUUCGCUUGAGUACUGGAGAGGAGGCUGGAAUUUACGGUGUAGCAGUGAAAUGCGUAGAUAUCGUAAGGAAGGCCGGUGGCGAAAGCGAGCCUCUGGACAGUUACUGACGCUGAGGAGCGAAAGCAUGGGGAGCGAACAGG
rnacentral:rRNA from 1 species